ACUUAACCUAACAAAUCAUUAAUGGAAGAGGCAUUCAGAAAAACCUGAAGUAAGAAAAUUAGAUAAUGUGGGUUAUAGUCUCUACUGGGUCCAUCUUUCUUAGCAAAGUACAAAUAUUUAGUAACAUCAUCAUCUGAGAAUAAGGACGGGAAAAAAGGAGUAGGCGAGGUUUGAAGAGGCAAGAGUAAAACAGUUGCACAGGAUGGCAAAAGAGAGAAUGGA